AAACACUGAGCAAAGAGAUACGAGAUAUAAAACUUAAACAAGAAGAGAUGCAAAAUACAAUAACUGAAAUAAAAAAUUCAUUAGAAGCAGCCAACAGCAGAUCACAGGAGGCAGAACAACAAGUAAGCGAGGUGGAGGACAUAUUAGUGGAAAUUACAGAUGCGGAACAGAAAAGAGAAAAAAGAUUGAAAACCAUUGAAGAGAGUCUCAGAGAACUCUGGGACAACAUUAAAUGCACCAACAUCCAUUAUUAAUGGGGUGCCAGAAGGAGAAGAGAGAGAAAAGGGGACAGAAAAAAAUAUUCCAAGAGAUAAUAGACAAAAACUUCCCUAACAUGGGAAAGGAACCACUCACUCAAAUCCAGGAAGCACAACGAGUACCGUAUAAAAUAAACCCAAGGAGGAAGACCCCAAGACACAUAUUAAUCAAACUGACCAAAAUUAAAGACAAAGAGAAACUACUGAAAGCAGCUAGGGAAUAGAAACAAAUAACACACAGGGAACCCCAAUAAAGUUAUCAAAAGAUUUUUCAGCAGAAACUCUGCAGGCCAGAAGGGAGUGGCAUGAUAUACUUAACGUGAAGAAAGGAAAAAAACCUCCAACCAAAAUUACUUUACCCAGCAAGGCUCUCAUUCAUAUUUGAAGGAGAAAUCAAAAGCUUUACAGAUAAGCAAAAGCUGAGAGAAUUCAGCAACACUAAACCAGCUUUACAACAAAUACUAAAGGAACUUCCUCUAUGCCAAAAAGAAAAGUCUACAACCAGAAACAAAAAUACCGCAAAUGACAAAGCUCACCAGUAAAGGAAUAUAUAAAGAUAGGAAAUCACCUAUGCACAAUUAUGCUACCAAAACCAGAAAUCAUGAUAAGACGAGGGUACGAAUGCAGGACACUGGAGAUGCACUUGCAAAUAAGAGACCACAAACUUAAAACAAUCUCAUAUAUAUAUAUAGACUCUCAUAUCAAAACUUCAGAGUAAUGGCAAACCAAAAAUCUACAACUGAUACACAAACAAAUAAGAAAAAUCAACUCAAAUACAACACUAAAGAUAGUCAUCAAACCAGAAGAGG
rnacentral:lncRNA from 1 species